GAUGAACGCUGGCGGCGUGCCUAAUACAUGCAAGUCGAGCGAACGGACGAGAAGCUUGCUUCUCUGAUGUUAGCGGCGGACGGGUGAGUAACACGUGGAUAACCUACCUAUAAGACUGGGAUAACUUCGGGAAACCGGAGCUAAUACCGGAUAAUAUUUUGAACCGCAUGGUUCAAAAGUGAAAGACGGUCUUGCUGUCACUUAUAGAUGGAUCCGCGCUGCAUUAGCUAGUUGGUAAGGUAACGGCUUACCAAGGCAACGAUGCAUAGCCGACCUGAGAGGGUGAUCGGCCACACUGGAACUGAGACACGGUCCAGACUCCUACGGGAGGCAGCAGUAGGGAAUCUUCCGUAAUGGGCGAAAGCCUGACGGAGCAACGCCGCGUGAGUGAUGAAGGUCUUCGGAUCGUAAAACUCUGUUAUUAGGGAAGAACAUAUGUGUAAGUAACUGUGCACAUCUUGACGGUACCUAAUCAGAAAGCCACGGCUAACUACGUG
rnacentral:rRNA from 1 species